AGAAAUGGGUUAAUCAAGUCUAAGCUUCUAACUUAAAACUUAAGCAGUGUAAUUCUGUUUACAUUUCUA
rnacentral:tRNA from 1 species